rnacentral:rRNA from 1 species
AUUGAACGCUGGCGGCAUGCCUUACACAUGCAAGUCGAACGGCAGCACGGGGCAACCUGGUGGCGAGUGGCGAACGGGUGAGUAAUGCAUCGGAACGUACCUUUCAGUGGGGGAUAACGUAGCGAAAGUUACGCUAAUACCGCAUAUUCUGUGAGCAGGAAAGCAGGGGAUCGCAAGACCUUGAGCUGAUUGAGCGGCCGACGUCAGAUUAGCUAGUUGGUGAGGUAAAGGCUCACCAAGGCGACGAUCUGUAGCGGGUCUGAGAGGAUGAUCCGCCACACUGGAACUGAGACACGGUCCAGACUCCUACGGGAGGCAGCAGUGGGGAAUUUUGGACAAUGGGGGCAACCCUGAUCCAGCCAUGCCGCGUGAGUGAAGAAGGCCUUCGGGUUGUAAAGCUCUUUCGGCCGGGAAGAAAUCGCACGGGCUAAUACCCUGUGUGGAUGACGGUACCGGAAUAAGAAGCACCGGCUAACUACGUGCCAGCAGCCGCCGUAAAAC